rnacentral:miRNA from 1 species
CCUGACACCCCAUCUGCCCUCA